CGGUCACUGCUGAUUCAAAACAAUUCUUUCACUCUCUGCCUCCUCUAAGGUCAAAACUGGAGCUGAAGGCAGAACUUCAUAGUUCUCGUACAUAGUUGACAACAAGAGGAAGUUUGUAUGGGAAGUGGUCUCGAAUCAAGUUGUGACAGCGACAUGUGACACAGGACACUUGAACUUCUAUCACUACAUAAACUGAAAGAGUUAUUAGCAGAGUACUGAUCACCAGUCACUUUCUCUUCAAGCAAACACACCAAAGCUUUGGAUCUCUGGUCAACCUGAGGAAUCUGGGACCCUUCUUCCCUCAAGAUCAAGUCUGGGCCGGUCUAGAUGUGCGAAGUCAAACUAUACGAAGUGAAAGUUGAGGAGAAUGCCUUCCUUGCACAGCCAGCGCCGGGGGCUGACUCGCACGGAAUCACCUGUCAGGACAUCUCCGAGCACACGGACCAUCGGAAACUGGCCAUUUGCAGCAUCAUAUGUGGCAUCUCCUGCUUCGGAAUAAUGUCCCUCAUGUACUCGGUCAAGGCUCGAGAGACAAAAAAAAGACUUAAAAAUGAAGACAGUCCAGAAACACGAGAGAUGUUUAAGAAAUACUCAGAAAAGGCGUGUAAAUGGGGAAUCGGCUCCAUUGUAGCCUGGGUGGUUUUAAUUCUCAUCUUUCCAUUGCUUCUGGGAUUCCUGUCCUAUGUUGUAACCUUCAUAGACUGACAGUGAAGACGCUUUCUACAGUUCAGUGAGCAACGAAAGCAAAUGAAUUGUAGGAGUGCAGAAACAGACUCUUUCAGUGCCUGCAUUGGACACUGCAUCCAGACCAUCCAAGAAGUAACUUAUUGACAAUAGGUUGGACAUUAACGGUCAUAUUUUAAAUUGUUUUAAAAUUUGCUUGUCCUCGGUUUGGAUCAAAGGUCAACAACCUGCUACCUACAACAUAAAGAGGAUUCAUCAGUUUGCACAAAAGGACUAAAUAUAAUUUGGAUGCCUUUUGGUAGUAGCAAAACAUACUGGAUUAUAAUAGUAACAUACUUAAAUCACUGCCAUUAAAAAACCCCGUAACUUUCAGGAAUUUGUUACAUGCAUGAGAUGGAGCCAUGCAUAAAAAUACAUCAGCACUGUCCAAACAAAAAGCAACUUUUACACUUCAGCAAGCUGAUUUUAUUUAUACUCUUAAAUUGGAAAUAAAACAUUGAGACACUCACAGAGAGCAUGACAAGUCAAAUGUGGAGAUCCAGAUGUGGUUACAUUAUUAACAUUCUGUUCUUGUAAAUAAGUUGUAUUGUUUAAUAUCGUGUGCUUUUAAUGUUUUGUACACUGCAUGUAUCUCAGACUUUGUAAUAAAAUGUGUAACAGUCAAAAA